rnacentral:rRNA from 1 species
GCUUAGCCAUAAACAUAGACAUCACAAACACAAUAAUGUCCGCCAGAGAACUACAAGCGAAAAACUCGAAACUCCAAGGACUUGGCGGUGCUCCACACCAACCUAGAGGAGCCUGUCCUAUAAUCGAUACCCCACGUUAAACCUUACCACCUUUCGCCACCCAGCCUAUAUACCGCCGUCGUCAGCCUACCCUGUGAAAGAACCAACAGUAGGCACAACAGUUAAUAACUAAUACGUCAGGUCAAGGUGUAGCACAUAAGAUGGAAGAGAUGGGCUACAUUUUCUACCACAGAAUAAACGAACAGCACAAUGAAACAUUUGCCCAAAGGUGGAUUUAGCAGUAAGACAGACAAGAAAUGCUGUCUUAAAUCCGCUCUGGAGCGCGC